AUUGAACGCUGGCGGCAGGCCUAACACAUGCAAGUCGAGCGGAUGAAGGGAGCUUGCUCCUGGAUUCAGCGGCGGACGGGUGAGUAAUGCCUAGGAAUCUGCCUGGUAGUGGGUGAUAACGUCCGGAAACGGGCGCUAAUACCGCAUACGUCCUGAGGGAGAAAGGGGGGGAGCUUCGGACCUUACGCUAUCAGAUGAGCCUAGGUCGGAUUAGCUAGUUGGUGGGGUAAAGGCCUACCAAGGCGACGAUCCGUAACUGGUCUGAGAGGAUGAUCAGUCACACUGGAACUGAGACACGGUCCAGACUCCUACGGGAGGCAGCAGUGGGGAAUAUUGGACAAUGGGCGAAAGCCUGAUCCAGCCAUGCCGCGUGUGUGAAGAAGGUCUUCGGAUUGUAAAGCACUUUAGGUUGGGAGGAAGGGCAGUAAGUUAAUACCUUGCUGUUUUGACGUUACCAACAGAAUAAGCACCGGCUAACUUCGUG
rnacentral:rRNA from 1 species